CCUACGGGGGGCUGCAGUGGGGAAUAUUGCACAAUGGGCGAAAGCCUGAUGCAGCAACGCCGCGUGAAGGAAGAAGGGUUUCGGCUCGUAAACUUCUAUCAACAGGGACGAAAGAAAUGACGGUACCUGAAUAAGAAGCCCCGGCUAACUACGUGCCAGCAGCCGCGGUAAUACGUAGGGGGCAAGCGUUAUCCGGAAUUACUGGGUGUAAAGGGUGAGUAGGCGGCAUGGUAAGCCAGAUGUGAAAGCCUUGGGCUUAACCCGAGGAUUGCAUUUGGAACUAUCAAGCUAGAGUACAGGAGAGGAAAGCGGAAUUCCUAGUGUAGCGGUGAAAUGCGUAGAUAUCACGCAGAACCCCGAUUGCGAAGGCAGCAUACCGGUGCACAACUGACGCUCAGGCACGAAAGCGUGGGUAUCGAACAGGAUUAGAUACCCUAGUAGUC
rnacentral:rRNA from 1 species